AGGACGAACGCUGGCGGCGCGCUUAACACAUGCAAGUCGAGCGGUAAGGCCUCUUCGGGGGUACACGAGCGGCGAACGGGUGAGUAACACGUGGGUGACCUGCCCUCAGCUCUGGGAUAAGCCUGGGAAACUGGGUCUAAUACUGGAUAUGACUGCGCAUCGCAUGGUGUGUGGUGGAAAGUUUUUUCGGCUGGGGAUGGGCCCGCGGCCUAUCAGCUUGUUGGUGGGGUGAUGGCCUACCAGGGCGACGACGGGUA
rnacentral:rRNA from 1 species